rnacentral:rRNA from 1 species
AUACGGAGGAUCCGAGCGUUAUCCGGAUUUAUUGGGUUUAAAGGGAGCGUAGGCGGGAGCUUAAGUCAGCGGUUAAAUGGUGCGGCUCAACCGUGCCCUGCCGUUGAAACUGGGUUUCUUGAGAGUGCAAGAGGCGGAUGGAAUUCAUGGUGUAGCGGGGAAAUGCUUAGAUAUCAUGAAGAACUCCGAUUGCGAAGGCAGUCCGCUGGGGCACGUCUGACGCUGAUGCUCGAAGGUGCGGGAAUCAAACAGGAUUAGAUACCCUGGUAGUCCGCACGGUAAACGAUGAUUACCCGCUGUCGGCGGUAGACAGUCGGCGGCCAAGCGAAAGCGACAAGUAAUCCACCUGGGGUGUACGCCGGCAACGGUGAAACUUAAAGGAAUUGACGGGG